CCUACGGGGGGCAGCAGUGGGGAAUAUUGGACAAUGGGCGAAAGCCUGAUCCAGCCAUGCCGCGUGUGUGAAGAAGGCCUUCGGGUUGUAAAGCACUUUCAGUGGGGAAGAAAGCCUUGGGGCUAAUACCCUCGAGGAAGGACAUCACCCACAGAAGAAGCACCGGCUAACUCCGUGCCAGCAGCCGCGGUAAUACGGAGGGUGCGAGCGUUAAUCGGAAUUACUGGGCGUAAAGCGCGCGUAGGCGGUUUGAUAAGCCGGUUGUGAAAGCCCCGGGCUCAACCUGGGAACGGCAUCCGGAACUGUCAGGCUAGAGUGCAGGAGAGGAAGGUAGAAUUCCCGGUGUAGCGGUGAAAUGCGUAGAGAUCGGGAGGAAUACCAGUGGCGAAGGCGGCCUUCUGGACUGACACUGACGCUGAGGUGCGAAAGCGUGGGUAGCAAACAGGAUUAGAUACCCGGGUAGUC
rnacentral:rRNA from 1 species